AGCCUGAACGCUGGCGGCGUGGCUAAGACAUGCAAGUCGCACGGUGUAGCAAUACACAGUGGCGAACGGGUGAGUAAUGUAUCGCUAAUGUACCCCGGACUCUGGGAUAGCUAGCCGAAAGGCUAGGUAAUACCAGAUGAUAUAAGCUUCCCGCAUGGGAAGGUUUCUCAAAGGUCCGCCGGUCUGGGAGCAGGCGAUAUCGUAUCAGCUAGUUGGUGAGGUAAUGGCUUACCAAGGCGACGACGCGUAGCCGGACUGAGAGGUUGGCCGGCCACAUUGGGACUGAGACACUGCCCAGACUCCUACGGGGGGCUGCAGUAACGAAUCUUCCGCAAUGCACGAAGUGUGACGGAGCGACGCCGCGUGUAGGACGAAGCCCUUCGGGGUGUAAACUACUGUCAGGGGUUAGAAAGUUCUGAUCAACCCAGAGGAAGGCACGGCUAACUCUGCGCCAGCAGCCGCGGUAA
rnacentral:rRNA from 1 species